UGCUUUUAUUGACACAUUUUAAGGAGUAUU
rnacentral:piRNA from 1 species